AGCGGGGUAGAGCAGUUUGGCAGCUCGCCGGGCCCAUAACCCGGAGGUCGUUGGUUCGAGUCCAACCCCCGCAACCA
rnacentral:tRNA from 1 species